AAACCGCGCAUUUUUUCAUUGUUUGUGUUCAACGUUUGAUUGUCCAUAUUAUUUAAAAAAAUUAUAAUCAAUAUUUUAUUGCUAUUAGAUAAUAAAACAUAAAUACUACAUUAUAUGUGGUUAUUUUUUGAAAAAAUAUAAAAUUUUUAAAUAAGAUAAAAGGUCAAACGUUGAACUUGAAAAUACACAAAUACAGUUAUA
rnacentral:pre_miRNA from 1 species